AAACCAUUCUUCCUCCUUAGUACGGGCGACGGAAAAGGACCCAAACGAGAGCAAUAGAAAAAGUACCGUAAGGGAACGCUGAAAGAGAGAUGAAACAGCCCAGUACAGCCCAAAAAAGCAGAGAUUCAUCCUCGUACCUUUUGCAUCAUGAUUUAGCCAGAACCCUUAAGCAAAGAGAACUUUAGUUUAAAUCCCCGAAACGAGGUGAGCUACUCCAAGACAGCCUGUUUAUCAGGGCGAACCCGUCUCUGUGGCAAAAGAGUGGGAAGAGCUUAGAGUAGAGGUGACAAGCCAAUCGAACCCCGUCAUAGCUGGUUGCCUGAGAAUUGGAUAUAAGUUCAGCCUCCCGGGUUCUACCUUCAUAACCAAGAUUUUGUCGCGGGAUACCUAGAAACCGAGAGAGUUAGUCAAAGGAGGGACAGCCCCUUUGAAACAGGACACAACCUUAUCAGGAGGGUAAAGAUUACAUUGACUAAAGGAAAAAUAUUUUGGUAGGCCUUAAAGCAGCCACCCAAACAGAAAGCGUUCAAGCUCAGAUAUAAACACCCCCCUCUUAUUCUAAUAAGUUAAUCUAAACCCCCUAAAUGUACCAGGCCAUCCUAUACCCCUAUAGGAGUGAUUAUGCUAGAAUGAGUAAUAAGAAGACCCAGAUCUUCUCCUCGCACACGUAUAACUCGGAAUGGACAAACCACCGAAUAUUAACGAUCCCAAAUAAAACAGAGGGGCCUGGAAAACUAAACAAAAUAAACAAGAAAACCUUCCAUCACUUAUGUUCGUUAACCCUACACCGGCGUGCUAACAAGGAAAGACUAAAAGAAAGAGAAGGAACUCGGCAAAUACUAACCAAGCCUCGCCUGUUUACCAAAAACACCGCCUCCUGCAAACAAAGAAUAGGAGGUCCCACCUGCCCAGUGACUUUUGUUCAACGGCCGCGGUAUGUUGACCGUGCAAAGGUAGCGUAAUCACUUGUCUUUUAAAUGAGGACCUGUAUGAAAGGUACCACGAGGGCUUAACUGUCUCCUCUCUCAAGUCAAUGAAAUUGAUCUCCCCGUGCAGAAGCGGGGAUAAAACUACAAGACGAGAAGACCCUGUGGAGCUUGAGACGCCUAGGCAGACAACGUCAAUCCCCUCUGAACAAAGACCCAAACCAGUUGGUACCUGCCUUAAUGUCUUCGGUUGGGGCGACCCUGGGGUAACAAAAAACCCCCACAUGGAAUGGGAGCACCAAGCCCACUUUCCACCCAACUCCCACAACUAAGGGCCAUGGCCCUAAUUAACAGAAUUUCUGACCAAACUCGAUCCGGCAAGUCCGAUUAAUAAAACGAGUUACCCCAGGGAUAACAGCGCAAU
rnacentral:rRNA from 1 species